UACGUAGGGGCCUAGCGUUGUCCGGAUUUAUUGGGCGUAAAGAGCUCGUAGGCGGUUCGGUAAGUCAGGUGUGAAAUCUCCACGCUCAACGUGGAGGCGCCACCUGAAACUGCCGUGACUAGAGUCCGGUAGGGGAGUGUGGAAUUCCCGGUGUAGCAGUGAAAUGCGUAGAGAUCGGGAGGAACAUCUGUGGCGAAGGCGACUGCCUGGACCAGCACUGACACUGAGGCACGAAAGCGUGGGGAGCAAACAGG
rnacentral:rRNA from 1 species